GCGUAAAGCUAGAGAGACAAAUAAGGUAAAUUAUGACUGUUUUGGCUAAUUUUCUUUGGUUACCAAACAUUUCUGUAAAAAUAUUUAUUUCCAUAGGCACUCGAAUUCUUAACCUAAUAAACUUAGUUAUUAAGUGGCAACUAUACUAGGCCUCUUGAUGAUAUAUAUAUAGGCAACAUUUGCAAAUUGCAAGCUAGGAAAUUCAUUCACUUCAACUUCAUGGCCACUAAUGAACAACCAUCAAUAUUCUCCCUCUCACCCUCUAUGGUACCAACAAGUACUAACCCUAAAAAUGGUGAUGAUAAAGUAUACUUCUCUAGUGACCCAAAAUAUGCUCUACAUGGCGAUUUCGUGCUGAUCACUUCAUCGCACACAACAAUGGUGGUCUUAAGGUGGAGCCUUGCCCAUAAAUGUUUAGAACAACUUGCAACUCAUUCAUCAUUUUCAUUUUUUUUUUAUAUUUUUUUGCCACCUAAAAUAUUAAUAAUACCCUGUUGUUAGGAAUCUGAUUGAUUUGGCUUAAAGAAUUGUAACUGUCCCUUUUAGCUAUGAGUUUAAUAUAUUUUUAUUAUUUU